rnacentral:piRNA from 1 species
UAGCUAACCAUGAAAACAGGGGUCUGGAAGU